rnacentral:rRNA from 1 species
UACGAAGGGGGCUAGCGUUGUUCGGAAUUACUGGGCGUAAAGCGCACGUAGGCGGCUAUUUAAGUCAGGGGUGAAAUCCCGCAGCUCAACUGCGGAACUGCCUUUGAUACUGGGUAUCUUGAGUAUGGAAGAGGUAAGUGGAAUUCCGAGUGUAGAGGUGAAAUUCGUAGAUAUUCGGAGGAACACCAGUGGCGAAGGCGGCUUACUGGUCCAUUACUGACGCUGAGGUGCGAAAGCGUGGGGAGCAAACAGG